rnacentral:rRNA from 1 species
AGAGUUUGAUCCUGGCUCAGAUUGAACGCUGGCGGUAUGCCUAACACAUGCAAGUCGAACGGUAACAGAGAGAAGCUUGCUUCUUUGCUGACGAGUGGCGGACGGGUGAGUAACGCGUGGGAAUCUACCCAGUAGUUGGGGAUAGCCCGGAGAAAUCCGGAUUAAAACCGAAUAAUAUCUACGGAUGAAAGGGUGCCUCUUCUUGAAAGCACUUGCUAUUGGAUGAGCCCGCGUUAGAUUAGUUAGUUGGUGGGGUAAAGGCCUACCAAGACUGCGAUCUAUAGCUGGUUUGAGAGGAUGAUCAGCCACAUUGGGACUGAGACACGGCCCAGACUCCUACGGGAGGCAGCAGUGGGGAAUAUUGGACAAUGGGCGCAAGCCUGAUCCAGCAAUACCGCGUGUGUGAAGAAGGCCUUCGGGUUGUAAAGCACUUUUAUAUGGGAAGAAGUGUUGUGUGUUAAUAGCGCAUGACAUUGACGGUACCAUAG